rnacentral:rRNA from 1 species
CCUACGAGAGGCAGCAGUAGGGAAUCUUCCACAAUGGGCGCAAUCCUGAUGGAGCAACACCGCGUGAGUGAAGAAGGUUUUCGGCUCGUAAAGCUCUAUUGUUGGGGAAGACCGUUCGUGAGAGUAACUGUUCACGCAAUGACGGUAUCCAACCAGAAAGUCACGGCUAACUACGUGCCAGCAGCCGCGGUAAUACGUAGGUGGCAAGCGUUAUCCGGAGUUAUUGGCCGUAAAGCGAGCGCAGGCGGGUGUUUAGGUCUGAUGUGAAAGCCUUCGGCUUAACCGAAGAAGUGCAUCGGAAAUCGGGCGACUUGAGUGCAGAAGAGGACAGUGGAACUCCAUGUGUAGCGGUGGAAUGCGUAGAUAUAUGGAAGAACACCAGUGGCGAAGGCGGAUGUCGGGUCUUCAACUGACGCUGAGGCUCGAAAGCAUGGGUAGCGAACAGGAUUAGAUACCCCUGUAAUC